GAUGAACGCUGGCGGCGUGCCUAAUACAUGCAAGUCGAGCGAACAGACGAGGAGCUUGCUCCUCUGACGUUAGCGGCGGACGGGUGAGUAACACGUGGAUAACCUACCUAUAAGACUGGGAUAACUUCGGGAAACCGGAGCUAAUACCGGAUAAUAUAUUGAACUGCAUGGUUCAAUAGUGAAAGACGGUUUUGCUGUCACUUAUAGAUGGAUCCGCGCCGCAUUAGCUAGUUGGUAAGGUAACGGCUUACCAAGGCAACGAUGCGUAGCUGACCUGAGAGGGUGAUCGGCCACACUGGAACUGAGACACGGUCCAGACUCCUACGGGAGGCAGCAGUAGGGAAUCUUCCGCAAUGGGCGAAAGCCUGACGGAGCAACGCCGCGUGAAUGAUGAAGGUCUUCGGAUCGUAAAACUCUGUUAUUAGGGAAGAACAAAUGUGUAAGUAACUAUGCACGUCUUGACGGUACCUAAUCAGAAAGCCACGGCUAACUACGUG
rnacentral:rRNA from 1 species